GACGAACGCUGGCGGCGUGCCUAACACAUGCAAGUCGAGCGAGGUAUUUAUACCUAGCGGCGGACGGGUGAGUAACACGUGGGUAACCUGCCUCAUAGAGGGGAAUAGCCUUCCGAAAGGGAGAUUAAUACCGCAUAAUAUAUACCGGUAGCAUUAAUGGUAUAUCAAAGGAGAAAUCCGCUAUGAGAUGGGCCCGCGGCGCAUUAGCUAGUUGGAGAGGUAACGGCUCACCAAGGCGACGAUGCGUAGCCGACCUGAGAGGGUGAUCGGCCACAUUGGAACUGAGACACGGUCCAGACUCCUACGGGAGGCAGCAGUGGGAAUAUUGCACAAUGGGGGAAACCCUGAUGCAGCAACGCCGCGUGAAUGAUGACGGCCUCGGUUGUAAAGUUCUUUG
rnacentral:rRNA from 1 species